GGUCACAGGACCACCUGACUUGCUGGAGAUCUGGCCUCAGCAGGGACCUUCCUCUGUCCUGUCACUGCUGGGAAUCAGGUCCCCAUCACCAGAAUCACCAAGUGAAAAUCUGUUCUUCAUUUUCACAAUGCUUUGCUACAGAGUGAAUGUUAGUAACGGCUCCAGAGUGGGCAGGUCCAUGUGUGUGGAUGGAAAUUCCCAGGAACCAGGCAGGACAAUGUGCUACCUAGGAAACCCCCCAGCGGGACAAGAGAACUCAGAUCCCCCCACU